rnacentral:rRNA from 1 species
UUGUUGUUUUGUAGGGCACACGGUGGAUGCCUUGGCAUAUCAAGCCGAUGAAGGACGUGAGAGGCUGCGUUAUGCCUCGGGGAGUUGCCAACUAAGCGUUGAUCCGAGGAUGUCCGAAUGGGGAAACCCAGCCGCAGUGAUGUGUGGUUACCUGCCAGUGAAUGUAUAGCUGGUGUGGAGGUUUACACGGGGAAGUGAAACAUCUCAGUACCCGUAGGAGAAGAAAACAAUUGUGAUUCCGUUAGUAGUGGCGAGCGAACGUGGAUGAUGGCUAAAACUUAUGUGUGUGAUACCCGGCAGGGGUUGCAUGUAGGUGGUUGUGGGGCAAUGACGUUCAUAUUCUGCCGGAUGUGGGCAUGUGCUGCGUGGUUAGUGGAAGUGGUGUGGAAACACCUGCCGUAGAAGGUGAGAGUCCUGUACACGAAGAUCAUGGUGGUGUGUGUGGUUGUUGAUACCCCGAGUAGCAGCGGGCUCGUGGAAUCUGCUGUGAAUUAGCCGGGACCACCCGGUAAGCCUGAAUACUUGAUAUGACCGAUAGCGGAUUAGUACCGUGAGGGAAUGGUGAAAAGUACCCCGGGAGGGGAGUGAAAUAGUACCUGAAACCGUGUGCUGUCAAUCCGUCAGAGCAUCCUUUGUGGUGUGAUGGCGUGCCUUUUGAAGAAUGAGCCUGCGAGUCAGCGGCAUGUCGCGAGGUUAACCCGUGUGGGGUAGCCGUAGGGAAACCGAAUCCUAACGAGGGUGUUUUAGUGGCAUGUCUUGGACCCGAAGCGGAGUGAUCUACCCAUGGCCAGUGUGAAGCAGCUGUAAGAGGUUGUGGAGGCGCGAACCCACUUAGGUUGAAAACUGAGGGGAUGAGUUGUGGGUAGGGGUGAAAGGCCAAUCAAACUCCGUGAUAGCUGGUUCUCCCCGAAAUGCAUUUAGGUGCAGCGUCGUGUGUUUCUUGCCGGAGGUAGAGCUACUGGAUGGUUUAGCGGGACCAACAUCUUAGCGACAUCAGCCAAACUCCGAAUGCCGGUAAGUUAGAGCACGGCAGUGAGACUGCGGGGGAUAAGCUUCGUAGUCGAGAGGGAAACAGCCCAGAUCGCCGGCUAAGGCCCCUAAGGGUGUGCUAAGUGGAAAAGGAGGUGGGGUCGCGAAGACAGCCAGGAGGUUGGCUUAGAAGCAGCCAUCCUUGAAAGAGUGCGUAAUAGCUCACUGGUCGAGUGAUUCCGCGCCGACAAUGUAGUGGGGCUUAAGUACACCGCCGAAGCCGCGGCAAUGAUCUUUAUAGGAUUGUUGGGUAGGGGAGCGUCGUGCAUGCGUUGAAGCUUUGGGGUGACCUUGGGUGGAGUGUGUGCGAGUGAGAAUGCAGGCAUGAGUAACGAAUGAUGCGUGAGAAACGUAUCCGCCGGAUGACUAAGGGUUCCUGGGUCAAGUUAAUCUUCCCAGGGUGAGUCGGGGCCUAAGGCGAGGCCGACAGGCGUAGUCGAUGGAUAACGGGUUGAUAUUCCCGUACCCGAGUAUGAGCGACCAUGGUGAAUCAGUGAUACUAACCACCCAUAAGCACCCGCGAAAAGGCUUUGCUUUUUUGUGGUGUGUGGUUGCGUGGGACCUGAUCUGGUAGUAGCUAAGUGAUGGGGUGACGCAGGGAGGUAGCUCAGCCACUUAUUGGAUUGUGGUGUAAGCGUGUGGCACGCAGUGUUGGUAAAUCCGCACUGUUUUUGUGUGAGGCGUGAUGCGGAGCCCGUAAAGGGUGAAGUGGGUGAUCCUGUGCUGUCGAGAAAAGCCUCUAGCGAUGUUGAUAUUCGGCCCGUACCCUAAACCGACACAGGUAGUCAGGUAGAGAAUACUAAGGCGUUCGGGUGAACUGUGGUUAAGGAACUCGGCAAAAUGCCCCCGUAACUUCGGGAGAAGGGGGGCCACGGCGUGUGAACAACUUUUCGUUGGGAGCGUGUUGUGGUCGCAGAGAAUAGAGGGAAGCGACUGUUUACUAAAAACACAGGUCCGUGCGAAGACGUUUAAGUUGAUGUAUACGGACUGACGCCUGCCCGGUGCUGGAAGGUUAAGAGGACCGGUUAG